GACGCCACAGAGCGAGCGGGGUCAGCCAAGUCAGCUUCGCAACCACAGCCGUGGGCCUCGGAUUUCGCAGCGCCACUAGCUAGCUGCGUCCUCCUCCGCAGGGAGGCUCUGCUGCGGAUCCAGCACUAACUUCCUCUCCGUUUGCGCUGGACUGGGGAAUGAUGGGCUACAGCCAAGGCAUGACGGAUCACGAGAGGCUCCAUGGAGUCUGUUUACGGAAAACAGUGCCAGGGCUCGCUGGAGCUGCGCUUUGUCAGUCGCGGAAAGGGGCGUGUGAGCCAGUUCCCAAAAGGAGGACAACCACCGAGGCUCCCUCCUCAGCCUGAAGCGCUGCAAGCCCGGGGCCCCCUGCCUUCCAGGGUUCCCUUCUGGCAGCCCCUGAUUCCAAGGAUGUCCCCCCGUCACGCACCUCAGGUGCUUCCAGCCCAGCUGAGGAAAGGACGCGGGAUCCUUCUGUCCCCAGCAGCGUGCACGGCCACGGUGCUCUUUCCUUAGAAGGAGCACACACUUCUGCCCCGCUCGCCUGAGCCUGGAGCUGCCCACGCAGAUAACAAGCAGAACGACUCUAAGGAACACCAAGCAGCGACUCAAGCCAAACAGCAUAAGAUCAUAAACAACCGACUCCUUCUGAAAUCCAGCCCAAAGGCCGUCUUUUCCCACGGCUACCGUAUGCGAAGCACCCCUGCUGUAGAGUUCAUAGCAGUAUGUGGUGUGCUCUGCAGCCAAGGUAUGAGUGAAUGCCUUCCAGCAAUCCCUGCAACAAUCAAGCCGAUUAUUCACACUGGCAGCUUCCAGGAUAGAUUACUGCAAUGGUCUUGAUGUGGGGCAGCCCUUGAAGACGGUCCAGACUACAGCUGUGGAGUUCUAAGAGAUGCUGCUCAUUCAGGCCACAUAAGACUCAUUUACCUUCAGCUUCACCAGCAAUCGGUUUGCUCCUGAGCUGAGUGCAGAACGCUGGCACCGUGCCCACGGCUAACCUGUCUCUUGACCCGUGCCAAAGCCCCUCCUUUGGGACGUGCCUUCAGAAAUACUGGUUGCAGUACCUGCUGCUCAGAACAGCUGCCCGGGAGAGGGGCUCCCCUGGGCGGUUCUUGGGCAGAAGACCAUUUCAGUUAGGUAAUUAUUGGCUCUCAAGGCGGAUCGAGUGGGCAAGAGAGAGACAGGCGGGCCCCUGAGAGUCUGUCGGAUUCACAGACUAAAAGGACAGGCAGGGCUUCCCUUGCUGGGUUUCCUGCUUGAGAAGCAAACUGGCAACUUCCGUCUCUUUGGCUGACAGAUGAGGCCAGAUGAGCAAGCACAAAACAUCCUGGCACACACUCAGGCCAGGUCGCACUGGCGACCCUGGAAGUGGGCCGUGCGAGUCCGUGGUGCUGUGCCCUUCUUGUCUUCCUCCAUUUACUAUAAAUAGCCCCAAGGAAGCAUUUGGGGCUCCCUAGACAUGACGCGGGCGCUGCAAAUCUCCAACUGCACCACACCCUGCCUUUUGGCAUCUGCCAGGAAAUCAUCUUCCGCCUUCCGCUCCCCUCAUUUCUGCUUCUCUGGCCUAAUGCUUCCCGCAGAGCACAAGUCCAAACCGCCAAAGAAGGGCACAGUGUUUUAAAAAACCUGCACAACUUUGCAGGCAGGCACUUGAGCGAAAGGCCUCGCAAGUUCAGCUCCACCAGAGAUGCACAAACUGCUCUGAGCUACAUUUAAAAACAUUUCGUUUCCGCUGGCAGAAUGAAACUCCUCCGCGGCACAGAAAGGAAGGCAUUUCUGCUUUCACAAAGGC